rnacentral:rRNA from 1 species
GUGCCAGCAGCCGCGGUAAGACGAAGGUGGCAAGCGUUGUUCGGAAUCACUGGGCAUAAAGCGCGCGUAGGCGGCUAUGUAAGUCAGGUGUGAAAGCCCUCGGCUCAACCGAGGAACUGCGCCUGAUACUGCAUGGCUUGAGGUCCGGAGGGGAGAGUGGAAUUCCCGGUGGAGCGGUGAAAUGCGUAGAGAUCGGGAAGAACGCCGGCGGCGAAAGCGACUCUCUGGUCGGAAUCUGACGCUGAGGCGCGAAAGCUAGGGGAGCAAACGGGAUUAGAUACCCUUGUAGUCC